UGGAGGGAACUCUGAACCAGCCAUCCCGCGUGUAGGAAGACGGUCCUUAUGGGUUGUAAACUACUUUUAUACAGGAAGAAACGUACCCUCGUGAGGGUGCCUGACGGUACUGUAGGAAUAAGCACCGGCUAACUCCGUGCCAGCAGCCGCGGUAAUACGGAGGGUGCGAGCGUUAUCCGGAUUUAUUGGGUUUAAAGGGUCCGUAGGCGGAUUAAUAAGUCAGUGGUGAAAUCCCAUCGCUUAACGAUGGAACUGCCAUUGAUACUGUUAGUCUUGAAUGAGGGUGCAGUGGUUGGAAGUGUGUAGUGUAGCGGUGAAAUGCAUAGAUAUUACACAGAACACCGAUUGCGAAGGCACGAUCACUAACCCUAAAUUGACGCUGAGGGACGAAAGCGUGGGGAGCGAACAGGAUUAGAUACCCUGGUAG
rnacentral:rRNA from 1 species